rnacentral:rRNA from 1 species
UAGCACAGAGGAGCUUGCUCCUUGGGUGACGAGUGGCGGACGGGUGAGUAAUGUCUGGGAAACUGCCCGAUGGAGGGGGAUAACUACUGGAAACGGUAGCUAAUACCGCAUAACGUCGCAAGACCAAAGAGGGGGACCUUCGGGCCUCUUGCCAUCGGAUGUGCCCAGAUGGGAUUAGCUAGUAGGUGGGGUAACGGCUCACCUAGGCGACGAUCCCUAGCUGGUCUGAGAGGAUGACCAGCCACACUGGAACUGAGACACGGUCCAGACUCCUACGGGAGGCAGCAGUGGGGAAUAUUGCACAAUGGGCGCAAGCCUGAUGCAGCCAUGCCGCGUGUAUGAAGAAGGCCUUCGGGUUGUAAAGUACUUUCAGCGAGGAGGAAGGCGUUGUGGUUAAUAACCGCAGCGAUUGACGUUACUCGCAGAAGAAGCACCGGCUAACUCCGUGCCAGCAGCCGCGGUAAUACGGAG